GAUGAACGCUGGCGGCGUGCCUAAUACAUGCAAGUCGAGCGAACGGACGAGAAGCUUGCUUCUCUGAUGUUAGCGGCGGACGGGUGAGUAACACGUGGAUAACCUACCUAUAAGACUGGGAUAACUUCGGGAAACCGUAGCUAAUACCGGAUAAUAUUUUGAACCGCAUGGUUCAAAAGUGAAAGACGGUCUUGCUGUCACUUAUAGAUGGAUCCGCGCUGCAUUAGCUAGUUGGUAAGGUAACGGCUUACCAAGGCAACGAUGCAUAGCCGACCUGAGAGGGUGAUCGGCCACACUGGAACUGAGACACGGUCCAGAAUCCUACGGGAGGCAGCAGUAGGGAAUCUUCCGCAACGGGCGAAAGCCUGACGGAGCAACGCCGCGUGAGUGAUGAAGGUCUUCGGAUCGUAAAACUCUGUUAUUAGGGAAGAACAUAUGUGUAAGUAACUGUGCACAUCUUGACGGUACCUAAUCAGAAAGCCACGGCUAACUACGUG
rnacentral:rRNA from 1 species